rnacentral:misc_RNA from 1 species
AAGUCGUAACAAGGUUUCCGUAGGUGAACCUGCGGAAGGAUCAUUAGCGUAGUAUGUGUUGAAUGUGCUGAAAGGCGCAUCAAACACAACACACACACCAUGUGAACCAGGAACAGUGAGUGGAGGCACGUCGCCAGUAGUAAUACUGAUGAUGCGCCGCCUUUAACCUUUGACAACGUUUGUGAAUGACUUUAUGUAAUGAACAACAACCAUACACACAACUUUUAACAAUGGAUCUCUAGGCUCCU